rnacentral:rRNA from 1 species
CCCUUAGAUGUCCUGGGCCGCACGCGCGCUACACUGAACGGAUCAGCGCGUUUUCCCUUCCCGAGAGGGACGGGUAACCUGCUGAACCCCGUUCGUGGUAGGGAUCGGGGCUUGCUAUUAUUCCCCGUGAACCAGGAAUGCCCAGUAAGUGCAAGUCAUAAGCUUGCGUUGAUUACGUCCCUGCCCUUUGUACACACCGCCCGUCGCUACUACCGAUUGAACGUUUUAGUGAGGUACUCGGACUGAGCCUCAGAAGAUUCACGUCUUUUGUGCUGCUCGGGAAGAUUCCCAAACUUGAGCGUUUAGAGGAAGUAAAAGUCGUAACA